rnacentral:rRNA from 1 species
GAUGAACGCUGGCGGCGUGCUUAACACAUGCAAGUCGAACGGUGAAGCAGGAGCUUGCUCUUGUGGAUCAGUGGCGAACGGGUGAGUAACACGUGAGCAACCUGCCCCGGACUCUGGGAUAAGCGCUGGAAACGGCGCCUAAUACUGGCUAUUUGAUGUGACCGCAUGGUCUGCAUCUGGAAAGAAUUUCGGUUGGGGAUGGGCUCGCGGCCUAUCAGCUUGUUGGUGAGGUAAUGGCUCACCAAGGCGUCGACGGGUAGCCGGCCUGAGAGGGUGACCGGCCACACUGGGACUGAGACACGGCCCAGACUCCUACGGGAGGCAGCAGUGGGGAAUAUUGCACAAUGGGCGGAAGCCUGAUGCAGCAACGCCGCGUGAGGGAUGACGGCCUUCGGGUUGUAAACCUCUUUUAGCAGGGAAGAAGCGAAAGUGACGGUACCUGCAGAAAAAGCACCGGCUAACUACGUGCCAGCCGCCGCCGUAA